rnacentral:rRNA from 1 species
GACGAACCGUGGCGAACGUUGUUCGGAAUCACUGGGCUUAAAGGGCGCGUAGGCGGGUUCGCAAGUCUGUGGUGAAAGCCCCCAGCUUGAACUGGGGAAGUGCCGUGGAUACUGCGAAUCUUGAGGAGGGUAGGGGCGUCUGGAACGGUCGGUGGAGCGGUGAAAUGCGUUGAUAUCGACCGGAACUCCGGUGGCGAAGGCGGGUCUCUGGGCCGAAAUUGACGCUGAGGAGCGAAAGCGUGGGGAGCAAACAGG